rnacentral:rRNA from 1 species
GAGGAACGCUGGCGGCGUGCCUAAUACAUGCAAGUCGAGCGAACGGACGAGAAGCUUGCUUCUCUGAUGUUAGCGGCGGACGGGUGAGUAACACGUGGAUAACCUACCUAUAAGACUGGGAUAACUUCGGGAAACCGGAGCUAAUACCGGAUAAUAUUUUGAACCGCAUGGUUCAAAAGUGAAAGACGGUCUUGCUGUCACUUAUAGAUGGAUCCGCGCUGCAUUAGCUAGUUGGUAAGGUAACGGCUUACCAAGGCAACGAUGCAUAGCCGACCUGAGAGGGUGAUCGGCCACACUGGAACUGAGACACGGUCCAGACUCCUACGGGAGGCAGCAGUAGGGAAUCUUCCACAAUGGGCGAAAGCCUGACGGAGCAACGCCGCGUGAGUGAUGAAGGUCUUCGGAUCGUAAAGCUCUGUUAUUAGGGAAGAACAUAUGUGUAAGUAACUGUGCACAUCUUGACGGUACCUAAUCAGAAAGCCACGGCUAACUACGUG